rnacentral:rRNA from 1 species
UGGCGACGAGUGGCGAACGGGUGAGUAAUGCAUCGGAACGUAUCCAUUUGUGGGGGAUAGCCCGGCGAAAGCCGGAUUAAUACCGCAUAAUCUCUGAGGAGGAAAGUGGGGGACCUUCGGGCCUUACGCUGAUGGAGCGGCUGAUGUCGGAUUAGCUAGUUGGUAGGGUAAAGGCCUACCAAGGCGACGAUCCGUAGCUGGUCUGAGAGGACGGCCAGCCACACUGGGACUGAGACACGGCCCAGACUCC